GGAAUUAAUAAGAAAUGGGCGAAAGCCUGACGGAGCAACGCCGCGUGAGGGAUGAAGGCCUCUGGGCUGUAAACCUCUUUUCUCAAGGAAGAAGAUCUGACGGUACUUGAUGAAUAAGCCACGGCUAAUUCCGUGCCAGCAGCCGCGGUAAUACGGGAGUGGCAAGCGUUAUCCGGAAUUAUUGGGCGUAAAGCGUCCGCAGGCGGCCUUGUAAGUCUGUCGUUAAAGCGUGGAGCUUAACUCCAUUUCAGCGAUGGAAACUACAAGGCUUGAGUGUGGUAGGGGCAGAGGGAAUUCCCGGUGUAGCGGUGAAAUGCGUAGAUAUCGGGAAGAACACCAGUGGCGAAGGCGCUCUGCUGGGCCAUAACUGACGCUCAUGGACGAAAGCCAGGGGAGCGAAAGGGAUUAGAUACCCCUGUAGUC
rnacentral:rRNA from 1 species